CUUAGCGGCGGACGGGUGAGUAACACGUGGGUAAUCUGCCUUAUACAGGGGGAUAACAGUUAGAAAUGACUGCUAAUACCGCAUAAGCGCACGGGGACGCAUGUUUCUGUGUGAAAAACUCCGGUAGUAUAAGAUGAGCCCGCGUCUGAUUAGCUGGUUGGUGGGGUAACGGCCUACCAAGGCGACGAUCAGUAGCCGGCCUGAGAGGGUGAACGGCCACAUUGGGACUGAGACACGGCCCAAACUCCUACGGAAGGCAGCAG
rnacentral:rRNA from 1 species